rnacentral:rRNA from 1 species
UACGUAGGCAGCGAGCGUUGUUCGGAAUUACUGGGCGUAAAGAGUGUGUAGGCGGUGCUCUAAGUUCGGUGUGAAAUCUCCUGGCUCAACUGGGAGGGUGCGCCGGAAACUGGAGUGCUUGAGCGUGGGAGAGGAAAGCGGAAUUCCUGGUGUAGCGGUGAAAUGCGUAGAUAUCAGGAGGAACACCGGUGGCGAAGGCGGUUCUCUGGGCAUUACCUGACGGCUGAGGAGCGAAAGUGUGGGGAGCGAACAGGG